rnacentral:rRNA from 1 species
UCAAGCAACAAAGAGUACAGGGUGGAUGCCUUGGCACUAAGAGCCGACGAAAGACGCGACAAGCUGCGAAAAGCCACGGUUAGGAGCAAAUAUCCAUUGAUCCGUGGAUGUCUGAAUGGGGAAACCCACUUGGAAAAACUCCAAGUAUCCAUGCGCCAAUCCAUAACGCAUGGAAGGGAACCCGGCGAACUGAAACAUCUAAGUAGCCGGAGGAAAAGAAAGAAACAUCGAUUCCCAAAGUAGCGGCGAGCGAAAUGGGAUGAGCCCAAACCAAGAUGCGUGCAUCUUGGGGUUCGGGCCGCCACAAUUGCAUCCGCAAAAGCUAGGCAAACGGCUUUGGGAAAGCCGGCCAAAGAGGGUGAAAGCCCCGUAGCCGAAAGCAAGAGUGGGCAAGGCGGUACCAGAGUAGCACGGGACACGAGAAACCCCGUGCGAAUAAGGGGGGACCACCCCCCAAGGCUAAAUACUACUUAGUGACCGAUAGCGCAUAGUACUGUGAAGGAAAGGUGAAAAGGACCCCGGGAGGGGAGUGAAAGAGAACCUGAAACCCUGUGCUUACAAACUGUGGAACGCCGACUUUGUUGGCGGACUGCGUACUUUUUGUAGAACGGUCCGGCGAGUUGUGUCGGCUGGCAAGGUUAAGCACUUAAAGUGCGGAGCCGAAGGGAAACCAAGUCUUAACAGGACGCCAGUCAGCCGAUGCAGACCCGAAACCAGGUGAUCUAUCCAUGCCCAGGUUGAAGCCGCCGUAAGAGGCGGUGGAGGACCGAACCCACGUCCGUUGAAAAGGGCGGGGAUGAGGUGUGGAUAGGGGAGAAAUUCCAAUCGAACCUGGAGAUAGCUGGUUCUCCUCGAAAUAGCUUUAGGGCUAGCCUCGUAACAAUCUGCCGGAGGUAGAGCACUGAAUUUCCUAGGGGGCGUCAAAGCCUGCCGAAGAAUAUCAAACUCCGAAUGCCGGACAGAUGAUUUACGGGAGUCAGACUGCACGAGAUAAGUCGGGUAGUCAAAAGGGAAAGAGCCCAGACCGCCGGCUAAGGCCCCAAAGUAUACGUUAAGUGGAAAAGGAUGUGGGAUCUCAAAGACAGCUAGGAUGUUGGCUCAGAAGCAGCCACCCAUUCAAAGAGUGCGUAACAGCUCACUAGCCGAGAGGUCCUGCGCCGAAAAUGUCCGGGGCUAAAACGUAUCGCCGAAGCUGCGGAAUGACGAAUGUCAUUGGUAGAGGAGCAUUGUUAAGUGGAUGAAGCAGUUUUGUAAAGAACUGUGGACGCUUAAGAAGAGAGAAUGCCGGAAUGAGUAGCGAGAGGAAGGUGAGAAUCCUUCCGGCCGAAUAUCCAAGGAUUCCAUGGUAAAGCUGAUCUGCCAUGGGGAAGUCGGGACCUAAGGCGAGGCCGAAAGGCGUAGCCGAUGGACAGCAGGUUUAUAUUCCUGCACUACAAUAAAACAGAACUGCGGGGACGCAUGGGGGAAGCACAAGCCGGGAAUGGAAAAUCCGGUGCAAGCGCAGAAGGUGUACGGAAGGAAAAACCACCGUACAAAACCAAGGACGUUAAGCGGAGCGAAAUGAUAGUAGCGAAGUGUGUAGAGCCUGUGCCCAGAAAAGCCGCUAUUGCUUUUAUUGUACCCGUACCGUAAACCGACACAGGUGGAUGGGGAGAGAAUCCCAAGGCCGACGGGAGAAGCGUUGUUAAGGAACUCGGCAAAAUGGCCCCGUAACUUCGGGAGAAGGGGCGCCUACGAGAGUAGGCCGCAGAGAAAAGGCCCAAGCAACUGUUUAGCAAAAACACAGGUCUAUGCAAAACCGCAAGGUGAAGUAUAUGGGCUGACGCCUGCCCGGUGCCGGAAGGUUAAGAGGAGGGGUUAGCGCAAGCGAAGCUCUGAAUUGAAGCCCCGGUAAACGGCGGCCGUAACUAUAACGGUCCUAAGGUAGCGAAAUUCCUUGUCGGGUAAGUUCCGACCCGCACGAAAGGCGUAAUGAUUUGGGCACUGUCUCGACAACGCACCCGGUGAAAUUGAAGUACCAGUGAAGAUGCUGGUUACCCGCGCCAGGACGGAAAGACCCCAUGGAGCUUUACUCCAGCUUGGCACUGGGGUCGGGCGUUGCAUGUACAGGAUAGGUGGGAGACUAGGAAGGAAGUGCGCCAGCAUUUCCGGAGUCAAUGUUGGGAUACCACCCUUGCAACGCCUGGCUUCUAACCCAUCGCCGUAAACCGGCGAGGGGACAAUACCAGGCGGGGAGUUUGACUGGGGCGGUCGCCUCCGAAAGGGUAUCGGAGGCGCUCAAAGGUUCCCUCAGGAUGGUCGGAAACCAUCUAAAGAGUGCAAAGGCAGAAGGGAGCCUGACUGCGAGGACGACGGUCCGAGCAGGUACGAAAGUAGGACUUAGUGAUCCGGUGGCAUUACGUGGGAAAGCCAUCGCUCAACGGAUAAAAGCUACCCUGGGGAUAACAGGCUUAUCACUCCCAAGAGUUCACAUCGACGGAGUGGUUUGGCACCUCGAUGUCGGCUCAUCGCAUCCUGGGGCUGAAGCAGGUCCCAAGGGUUGGGCUGUUCGCCCAUUAAAGCGGUACGCGAGCUGGGUUCAGAACGUCGUGAGACAGUUCGGUCCCUAUCCGGCGCGGGCGCAGGAGAAAUGAGAGGAGCUGUCCUUAGUACGAGAGGACCGGGACGGACGGGCCGCUGGUGUACCUGCUGCCAUGCCAAUGGCACAGCAGGGUAGCCAAGCCCGGCAGGGAGAAACGCUGAAGGCAUCUAAGCGUGAAGCCCCCCUCAAGAUGAUUUGUCCCAUUCAUAAAGAAGUAAGGCCCCUUAGAGACCAUGAGGUAGAUAGGGCGGGGGUAGAAGUACAGUAAUGUACGAAGCUGACCGCAACUAAUCGGCCGAGGGCUUGACC